CAUUUGUUUAAAAAAUGUGUGGCGUGACCCUGUCAACCAACCAAGAUGGCCGCCAUGGCUAAAAAUAGUACAAAGGGGCGAAAUGGAGAUUUUGGCUUAUAUCUCUGAAACCAAAGCAUUUAGAGCAAAUCUGACGUAGGAAAGAUUGAUUAUCAGGUCAAGAUCUAUCUGCCCUGAAAUUUUCAGACAAAACAGACAACCUGUGGUUGGGUUGCUGCCCCAGAGUUAGUAAUUUU
rnacentral:lncRNA from 1 species